rnacentral:lncRNA from 1 species
GAAUGACUGUAUUUGGUGUACUGUCUUUCAGGGUUUCUUUCCAAGUAGAUACAAACCCCUUUGGAUGGUCUAAUUGCUCUAAAUAGAAAGAAAAACAUACAACAUCUUCCUUCACAGUAGAUUUUGGAAUAUCUUCAGGUGUUGCUGUCUGCCAACAUGAAUAAUUGAUGAAUAAUGACAGCUUAAACCAUGAAGCACAGAAAAAUAAAAAAUUUAGGAGUUUAUAACAUGCUACCAUAGCCUCCCCUGUACUCAGACAAAAAUGCAGCCCAUGAGGACAACUAAAACCAUCCUGGAAAAGCCCAGGUGACUGAGCCUCUGCCAUUGCUUAUCUCUUGCAACUGAGGAAGAAGUCUGGAUCUCAAGAAAAGAGCAGAAAAAAACCUGUUUCUUCCCCACGAGCAGAGCCAGAAAAGGUGACCUUUCUGUCAUUCUUAGAAUAUAUAACAUUAAUUUUAACAUCACCAUGCCUCAUCCUGACAACAAGUUUAGAAGAUUAAAGAAGUACUUCACAGAAUGUAUCACUAAUUUUCUUUUUUUCAUUAAAUAAGCAUGAAUAAUAGAAUUUGC